GCCCCCGUAGCUCAGUUUGGUAGAGCAGGCCCCUCUUAAGGGCAAGGUCGCAGGUUCAAAUCCUGCCGGGGGCACAA
rnacentral:tRNA from 1 species